AAGCUUGUUCUUUGCUGACGAGUGGCGGACGGGUGAUAAUGUCUGGGAAACUGCCUGAUGGAGGGGGAUAACUACUGGAAACGGUAGCUAAUACCGCAUAACGUCGCAAGACCAAAGAGGGGGACCUUCGGGCCUCUUGCCAUCGGAUGUGCCCAGAUGGGAUUAGCUAGUAGGUGGGGUAACGGCUCACCUAGGCGACGAUCCCUAGCUGGUCUGAGAGGAUGACCAGCCACACUGGAACUGAGACACGGUCCAACUCCUACGGGAGGCAGCAGUGGGGAAUAUUGCACAAUGGGCGCAAGCCUGAUGCACCAUGCCGCGUGUAUGAAGAAGCCUUCGGGUUGUAAAGUACUUUCACGGGGAGGAAGGGAGUAAAGUUAAUACCUUUGCUCCGAGUUACCAGAAAAAGCA
rnacentral:rRNA from 1 species